AGAGGGUGCAAGCGUUAAUCGGAAUUACUGGGCGUAAAGCGUGCGUAGUCGGUUAUCUAAGUCGGGUGUGAAAUCCCCGGGCUCAACCUGGGAAUUGCAUUCGAUACUGGAUAGCUAGAGUUCGGCAGAGGGAAGUGGAAUUUCCGGUGUAGCGGUGAAAUGCGUAGAUAUCGGAAGGAACAUCAGUGGCGAAAGCGACUUCCUGGACCAGAACUGACGAUCAGGCACGAAAGCGUGGGGAGCAAACAGGAUUAGAUACCCUGGUAGUCCACGCCAUAAACGAUGACAACUAGACGUUGGGGGGGUAAGCCUCUCAGUGUCGCAGCUAACGCGUUAAGUUGUCCGCCUGGGGAAUACGGCCGCAAGGUUG
rnacentral:rRNA from 1 species